rnacentral:lncRNA from 1 species
GCUAUUUAUUACGUGGGAUCCACACAUGCAACUCGUGCUUUCCGACGGAAGCAGAGGCAGGCACAACUCUAAGUGGCGUACCGCGGUUCGGAGUCCAAUUGCCGCGGUAAAAGGCGACCUACAAUGGGAGCGGCGUCAAGAUGUAUGACGACGAUGAUGGUGCAACCGUUGUUGUGUCCGUAAAUAGAAAUAAAGCUAAGGAUGGG